GACGAACGCUGGCGGCGUGCUUAACACAUGCAAGUCGAACGGAAAGGCCCUGCUUUUGUGGGGUGCUCGAGUGGCGAACGGGUGAGUAACACGUGAGUAACCUGCCCUUGACUUUGGGAUAACUUCAGGAAACUGGGGCUAAUACCGGAUAGGAGCUCCUGCUGCAUGGUGGGGGUUGGAAAGCUUCGGCGGUUGGGGAUGGACUCGCGGCUUAUCAGCUUGUCGGUGGGGUAGUGGCUUACCAAGGCUUUGACGGGUAGCCGGCCUGUGAGGGUGACCGGCCACAAUGGGACUGAGAGACGGCCCAGAGUCCUACGGGAGGCAGCAGGGGGGAAUAUUGCACAAUGGGCGGAAGCCUGAUGCAGCAACGCCGCGUUCGGGAUGACGGCCUUCGGGUUGUAAACCGCUUUCGCCUGUGACGAAGCGUGAGUGACGGUAAUGGGUAAAGAAGCACCGGCUAACUACGUG
rnacentral:rRNA from 1 species